rnacentral:rRNA from 1 species
CACGUAGGAUCCGAGCGUUAUCCGAAUUUACUGGGCGUAAAGCGCGUGCAGGCGGUUUGGUAAGUUGGAUGUGAAAGCUCCUGGCUCAACUGGGAGAGGCCAUUCAAAACUGCCAGACUAGAGAGUGGUAGAGGGAGGUGGAAUUUCCGGUGUAGUAGUGAAAUGCGUAGAUAUCGGAAGGAACACCAGUGGCGAAGGCGGCCUCCUGGACCAUUUCUGACGCUAAGACGCGAAAGCUAGGGGAGCGAACGGG